rnacentral:tRNA from 1 species
AGCAGUGUGGCUCAGUGGAAAGAGCACGGGCUUGGGAGCCAGAGGUCAUGGGUUUGAAUCCCAGCUCUGCCA